rnacentral:snoRNA from 1 species
GUGAUGAUGAGCUUUACAUCUUACAGACACUGAUCUAUGUGAAGUAUACAGUAGAACAGCGCGUGCGGCUCUGAGGC